rnacentral:tRNA from 1 species
CAGGGGGUAGUUUAGUCUAAAAUUCCAGCUUUGGGAGUUGGAGAUGAAGGUUUAAUUCCUUUCCCCUUGA